UAAAAAAGUGAAAAAGAAAAAAGAUCCCUCGAAAGCACAAAGACGCAGACUAAGGGCACAAAACUUUAAAAGCGAAGGAAAACAACUCAAAAAGGAAACUCAGGAUAAUUAUCCAUAUCAUCCGACCAACGCCUAUGGACGACAUUAUUCAUUGCAAUCAUACUAGGCCUAUUGGUGACGUCAACCACAAACUCCCUCGGCUUGUGACCCCUUUCUUCCGCAUUCCUGAGACGACUUUUAAUACAACCUUCCGGAAUUGCAUGUACAGGCUCUCGUCCCUUUACCGAGCCCUUUGGACGACCACGUCCGCGCUUCUGCUCCGAGAGCAACUGCAUCCCCUGAUUAACCUGCUCAUCUAACCUAAUUAUACGACUCGCCAUGUCAUCCGGAGUAGGAUUGGAUUGCUUAUCAAAAUCAACGUCCUUAAUCGGAGAAUUAACCCGCUGGCUCGCUGAAACUUCUGCCCCAACUACCGAUUGCUGCUCUACCACAUCUCCACUAUUCGUUCCAAGAUCCAACUCCAAAGUUCCCUCUACACUCGAGCCCUCCUUAUCAC
rnacentral:lncRNA from 1 species